UAUUCCCUUACUUUUAAUCUUUGUUCAACAGUAACUAAGACAUUCUAUUUCUGUAAGCUACCUUUGAACCACUUUCUCCCAAUCAAACAAACGGCACAUCUCCAAUCCUGAGGUUCUAGGAAUUAAUAUUGUGUCCUGCAUUCUGAUGGAGGAAGAAAAUGACUUGCCACGCUGGGAUGAACUAAUACCAGAAGCACUUGUACUGAUCUUCGUAAAAUUGCCAUUGAAAGACAAAGUUAGUGUAAUUCCAAGCCUUUGCAAGUCAUGGAGGAAAGUUAUUACUGGUUUGGAUUGCUGGUUGCAGAUAGAUUUUGAAGGAGUAGCUAAUGAUUUAACAGAGGAGGCCUUUAAUGAAUUGCUGCAAAUGCUAUUAAGAAGAAGUUCAGGUCAACUUCAGUCACUCCGUUGUGAAUUUCUCCCUGGUGACCAAAGCUUGUCCUUAAUAGCUAACCAGCAAGUACAUAAUAUGUGCACAAUCACUCUCGAUAUUGAAAGCUGCCAAGGAGCGCAAUAAGCAAUUCAUUAGUGGAACAAGUUGCUUGUAGACUCUCCACCUUGAUUCAUUUAGAUUUGAGCUACUGCGAGUACAUUGGUGCCCCUGCACUAGAGGCAUUUGGGAACAACUGCAAGCAUCUUGCAUAUUUGAACAGGACGAUAGACGAGUAUACUUUUGACCAUAGCUCUCAAGAUGAUAAAGCUUUUGCCAAAGCUGCCACAAUGCCUAAGCUCAAACAACUUAAAAUUUCCCAUAUGCGUAUCGGUACUGAAGCUGUACUCAAGAUACUUGCAGGCUGUCCUGAGCUUGAACUUUUAAACAUUAGUGGCUGUUAUGGAUUGGACAUUGAUGACAAGUUUUUUGGAGAAGUUCCAAGGCCUGAAAGUGACUAAUCCCGUUUUACAUCAGAGUUUUUCGGAGGACGAUUAUGAUCAUCUGUCCAGAUGGGAUUUUGAUUUCCAGGAUUCUAGAUAUUGAACCAUGUAGUCUAAGCUGUCGUAAACUGUCUUUUCUUCUUCUCAAGAUGUAGCUUGCUGUGUGCCAAUUUGUGAAACUUUGUUAUGUUCUUUCAUUUUCCUUGUUCAAUGGAUCGAAAAUUUGACUGGAGAAAAAAA